UACAGAGGUCUCAAGCGUUGUUCGGAUUCAUUGGGCGUAAAGGGUGCGUAGGCGGCGAGGUAAGUCGGAUGUGAAAUCCCGGGGCUCAACCCCGGAACUGCAUUCGAUACUGCUUUGCUUGAGUACUGGAGAGGAGACUGGAAUUUACGGUGUAGCAGUGAAAUGCGUAGAUAUCGUAAGGAAGACCAGUGGCGAAGGCGAGAU
rnacentral:rRNA from 1 species